ensembl:lncRNA
CCCAAUAUGAGUGCAACAGAGUCUCCCUUUAUUAUCCGCUACUUACACAAAUAUAUAAAUCGUGGCGAACAUGCGUCAGCGUGUAAUUGGCUGAAGCAUAGUGAAAAGCCCCCUGCCUAAGAAUACUAUUGGUCGUGCAUGUUUUCAUACCAUUCCACUGUCUUAAUCUCUUCCCAGAUCAAAGGUUUUUCUGGCUCUGAUAUGAAACAAUUUAUUCCUUGACGGCAAAGAGUAUAUUCAAGAGUCAUUUGUAUUUAGAAGACUUAAUACAAAAAUGACACAACAAAGUUUUGUGUUCAUACCAGUUCUGAUAGAGGAAAACGAUUAAAUAAAUUCCUAGUACAAGCGAUUUUCAUUCAGUUGAGGCUCCGGAGAAGUAGGAGCUGCUUGCCAUGUAUGAACUAAUCUAUAACUAGAAGCCUGAGGAGAAUCAACUCAAUGCCUCCAGUGACUGCUCUUUCUGCGUCAGGUGGCAACACUGUCACUAAAUUAGAAGGAAGAAGCUCCAAGAAAUCCAGCUGAGUAUGUGUGGAGAAUAUCUGUGCACUUUUGGCACCACCACCACCAAUAAUUUUUCUUUUCUUUUCCCAUUGUCUAGAUUCUUUCAGCUCAUUACAGCCACAUAAGAUGUAGAGCCAGUCAUAUAUGAAACUCAUGGUCUCAUGGUGUUAAUCUGUCCCACAGACAGAUGUCCAAAAAAGAAAGAAGAGGGCACAAAAAUGAAUAAAUAAAUAAAUAGAUAGAUAAAUAGAUAGAUUCUGGAGGAUGGUAUGAACAAGUUGUAGAUUUUAACUUGUAGGUAUUUAUAUUUCUUAAUGACUCAAACUUCAAUUUCUUUCAACUUAAAAGUUUUAAAAUCUAAUAACAUAUAUAUACACAUACAUAUAUUUGUCUGACAAUGCUGGAGAAUUUUAAAUUUGAAAGUAUUAUUACGAUAGUCUGAAAACAGCCAUACUUUAGAGGGUUUUUUUUGGACUGUUUCAGUUAAGAAAAGUAGUCAAUGAUGGGGUCAUGCAUUUAUUUGACACAGCCAUUUUCAUUCACUAAAAAUAAAGAAAGUGCUGUUUCUCUGAGAACAGGAAUAAACAAAUUACAGGAGACAAGUUCUGUGCUCAAAUCCUCAAGGGCUGUUCAGACAGGAGCUGACCUAAGCCUUCCCUUUGGGUUCCUUUCAGGACAACAUGUAUUUUGCUUUCCACUAGCUGUGUUCAUACUGUCUAGUUGACAUGAAAAGCUUCAUGAGAUUUUCUUCAAAAGUACAUAUUAGUAUAAUCAUAAGUGAGGUAUAAAGACUAAAUAAGCAGAAACCUUAUUCUAUACUUCUAUUCUUUCUGAAUGUUGUUCCUUGAAUACUGAACAGAACUGCUAUUUUUAGGCUUGUAAACACUCAGCUGCAUGUUAUCUUAUAGCUUCCUGAUCACUUACUGACAGCUUUUGAUUUACUU